AGCAGUAUGGUGUAGUGAUGCACACGGGAUAUCUGUCAGGUCUUCACUCUCUUGGUGGAACCCCGAGGUCCUUGUUCGAAUCAGGGUGCUGCUC